UUUACGGAUCGCAUGGCCUUGCGCCGGCGACGGUUCAUUCAAAUUUCUGCCCUAUCAACUUUCGAUGGUAAGGUAUUGGCUUACCAUGGUUUCAACGGGUAACGGGGAAUUAGGGUUCGAUUCCGGAGAGGGAGCCUGAGAAACGGCUACCACAUCCAAGGAAGGCAGCAGGCGCGCAAAUUACCCAAUCCCGACACGGGGAGGUAGUGACAAUAAAUACUGAUACAGGGCUCUUUUGGGUCUUGUAAUUGGAAUGAGUACAAUUUAAACCUCUUAACGAGGAACAAUUGGAGGGCAAGU
rnacentral:rRNA from 1 species